rnacentral:rRNA from 1 species
AACGCUAGCUACAGGCUUAACACAUGCAAGUCGAGGGGAAACGAUAUUGGAAGCUUGCUUCCGAUAGGCGUCGACCGGCGCACGGGUGAGUAACGCGUAUCCAACCUGCCCACCACUUGGGGAUAACCUUGCGAAAGUAAGACUAAUACCCAAUGAUAUCUCUAGAAGACAUCUGAAAGAGAUUAAAGAUUUAUCGGUGAUGGAUGGGGAUGCGUCUGAUUAGCUUGUUGGCGGGGUAAUGGCCCACCAAGGCAACGAUCAGUAGGGGUUCUGAGAGGAAGGUCCCCCACAUUGGUACUGAGACACGGACCAAACUCCUACGGGAGGCAGCAGUGAGGAAUAUUGGUCAAUGGGCGAGAGCCUGAACCAGCCAAGUAGCGUGAAGGAUGAAGGUCCUAUGGAUUGUAAACUUCUUUUAUAGUAGAAUAAAGUGAUCCACGUGUGGAUUUUUGUAUGUAUACUAUGAAUAAGGAUCGGCUAACUCCGUGCCAGCAGCCGCGGUAAUACGGAGGAUCCGAGCGUUAUCCGGAUUUAUUGGGUUUAAAGGGUGCGUAGGCGGAAUAAUAAGUCAGUUGUGAAAGUCUGCGGCUCAACCGUAAAAUUGCAGUUGAUACUGUUAUUCUUGAGUGUACAUAAGGUAGGCGGAAUUCGUGGUGUAGCGGUGAAAUGCUUAGAUAUCACGAAGAACUCCGAUUG